AAAGAAAGAUUAAGACCUGAUAGUAUGGUGAGAUUGCAUGAUAGCACCAUUAAAGAUUUAUUGGUAAACGAUGGGGAUGCGUUCCAUUAGGUAGUAGGCGGGGUAACGGCCCACCUAGCCGACGAUGGAUAGGGGUUCUGAGAGGAAGGUCCCCCACAUUGGAACUGAGACACGGUCCAAACUCCUACGGGAGGCAGCAGUGAGGAAUAUUGGUCAAUGGGCGAGAGCCUGAACCAGCCAAGUAGCGUGAAGGAUGAAGGUCCUACGGAUUGUAAACUUCUUUUAUACGGGAAUAAAGUAUCCUACGUGUAGGAUUUUGUAUGUACCGUAUGAAUAAGCAUCGGCUAACUCCGUGCCAGCAGCCGCGGUAAUACGGAGGAUGCGAGCGUUAUCCGGAUUUAUUGGGUUUAAAGGGAGCGCAGACGGGAGAUUAAGUCAGUUGUGAAAGUUUGCGGCUCAACCGUAAAAUUGCAGUUGAUACUGGUUUCCUUGAGUGCAGUUGAGGCAGGCGGAAUUCGUGGUGUAGCGGUGAAAUGCUUAGAUAUCACGAAGAACCCCGAUUGCGAAGGCAGCUUGCUAAACUGUAACUGACGUUCAUGCUCGAAAGUGUGGGUAUCAAACAGG
rnacentral:rRNA from 1 species